UGGGGAAUUUUGGACAAUGGGCGAAAGCCUGAUCCAGCCAUGCCGCGUGAGUGAAGAAGGCCUUCGGGUUGUAAAGCUCUUUUAGUCGGAAAGAAAGAGUUGCAAUGAAUAAUUGUGAUUUAUGACGGUACCGACAGAAAAAGCACCGGCUAACUACGUGCCAGCAGCCGCGGUAAUACGUAGGGUGCGAGCGUUAAUCGGAAUUACUGGGCGUAAAGGGUGCGCAGGCGGUCUUGCAAGUCAGAUGUGAAAGCCCCGGGCUUAACCGGGGAAUUGCGUUUGAAACUACAAGACUAGAGUGCAGCAGAGGGGAGUGGAAUUCCAUGUGUAGCAGUGAAAUGCGUAGAGAUGUGGAAGAACACCGAUGGCGAAGGCAGCUCCCUGGGUUGACACUGACGCUCAUGCACGAAAGCGUGGGGAGCAAACA
rnacentral:rRNA from 1 species